CGGGGCGUAGCUCAAUCGGUAGAGCGCGAGCCUUUGAAGUUCGAUGUUGCGCGUUCGAUCCGCGCCGCCCCUG
rnacentral:tRNA from 1 species